rnacentral:rRNA from 1 species
GACGGAGGAUGCAAGCGUUAUCCGGAAUUAUUGGGCGUAAAGCGUCCGCAGGUGGCUGUUCAAGUCUGCUGUCAAAGCGCAGAGCUUAACUCUGUACAGGCGGUGGAAACUGAAGAGCUAGAGUAUGGUAGGGGUAGAGGGAAUUCCCGGUGUAGCGGUGAAAUGCGUAGAUAUCGGGAAGAACACCAGUGGCGAAAGCGCUCUACUGGGCCAUAACUGACACUGAGGGACGAAAGCUAGGGGAGCGAACGGG